rnacentral:rRNA from 1 species
UGCAAGUCGACGAUGAAAUCACUUCGGUGGUGGAUUAGUGGCGAACGGGUGAGUAACACGUGGGCAAUCUGCCCUUCACUCUGGGACAAGCCCUGGAAACGGGGUCUAAUACCGGAUACCACUUCGUCCCGCAUGGGACGGGGUUGAAAGCUCCGGCGGUGAAGGAUGAGCCCGCGGCCUAUCAGCUUGUUGGUGGGGUAAUGGCCUACCAAGGCGACGACGGGUAGCCGGCCUGAGAGGGCGACCGGCCACACUGGGACUGAGACACGGCCCAGACUCCUACGGGAGGCAGCAGUGGGGAAUAUUGCACAAUGGGCGAAAGCCUGAUGCAGCGACGCCGCGUGAGGGAUGACGGCCUUCGGGUUGUAAACCUCUUUCAGCAGGGAAGAAGCGCAAGUGACGGUACCUGCAGAAGAAGCGCCGGCUAACUACGUGCCAGCAGCCGCGGUAAUACGUAGGGCGCAAGCGUUGUCCGGAAUUAUUGGGCGUAAAGAGCUCGUAGGCGGCUUGUCACGUCGGAUGUGAAAGCCCGGGGCUUAACCCCGGGUCUGCAUUCGAUACGGGCUAGCUAGAGUGUGGUAGGGGAGAUCGGAAUUCCUGGUGUAGCGGUGAAAUGCGCAGAUAUCAGGAGGAACACCGGUGGCGAAGGCGGAUCUCUGGGCCAUUACUGACGCUGAGGAGCGAAAGCGUGGGGAGCGAACAGGAUUAGAUACCCUGGUAGUCCACGCCGUAAACGUUGGGAACUAGGUGUUGGCGACAUUCCACGUCGUCGGUGCCG